GAUUAACGCUAGCGGCAGGCAUAAUACAUGCAAGUUGAACGGGAUCAGAUAGCAAUAUUUGUGAGAGUGGCGCACGGGUGAGUAACGCGUAUGUAACUUACCUCUGACUGGGGAAUAGCCCGAAGAAAUUCGGAUUAAUACCGCAUAACAUUAUUGGGUGGCAUCAUCCGAUAAUCAAAGAUUUUGGUCAGAGAUAGGCAUGCGUGACAUAGCUUGUUGGUGAGGUAACGGCUCACCAAGGCUACGAUGUCUAGGGGGUCUGAGAGGAUCGUCCCCCA
rnacentral:rRNA from 1 species